UACGGAGGGAGCUAGCGUUGUUCGGAUAUACUGGGCGUAAAGCGCACGUCGGCGGCGCCGUAAGUCAGGGGUGAAAUCCCGGAGCUCAACUCCGGAACUGCCCUUGAAACUGCAGUGCUAGAAUCCUGGAGAGGCGAGUGGAAUUCCGAGUGUAGAGGUGAAAUUCGUAGAUAUUCGGAAGAACACCAGUGGCGAAGGCGACUCGCUGGACAGGUAUUGACGCUGAGGUGCGAAAGCGUGGGGAGCAAACAGG
rnacentral:rRNA from 1 species